CAUUGUCGAAAUCGAACGGAAGGACGACUCGCGAACAGUCAUUGCAAACUAGAGAUGGCCCGUGGGCGCACGAUGCUCACGCGGCUCGCGUCGCGUCGGCGUGGACGUACUCGAGGCCCGCGUCGUACCGACGGAAAAACAUCGUCAGCACGGAUCGUGCCAAGGAGCUGCACGGAGAGAACCGUCCUCCCUCGUCUUCGGUCGCCCUCGUUGCGGGACGGAAGGCGGGGGACGCGAGCGAUCUCUACUCAAGUCUAAAUGACUCUCGGCAACGGAUAUCUCGGCUCUUUGCAUCGAUGAAGAACGUAGCGAAAUGCGAUACUUGGUGUGAAUUGCAGAAUCCCGCGAACCAUCAAUUCUUUGAACGCAAGUUGCGCCCGAAGCCAUUCGGCCGAGGGCACGCCUGCCUGGGUGUCGUGAAUCCCCUUGCCCCUGGGCACCCGUGUUCAUGCAUUCGCAUCGUCGGGGAAAUGCUCGGGCGCAGAACAUGGUCUCCCGCGGGAUCGGCACGCGCGGCGUGCCGAGGCGCGGUUGGCCGAAAAUCGAGCAUGGAGGUGACGGGCACCACGACGUUCGGUGGAUCGAACGAGAGAUUGGCUGCGUCGUGGUAUCGGCACGCUUCUCGCUCCGGGCUUUGACGAUCCCUUGUGCGA
rnacentral:rRNA from 1 species